UUAAGCAACGGCCAUCAGUUGCUCGUCACAUGUUCGACACUCAAGUAGAGACCAACAGCAAGCAGGUAACGGAAAUUGUGCAGAAAAUUGGACCAAACGACGACGAUCAGUGCUGUGACACCACCCAUUAACAACAACAACAACAGCAGCAGCAACAACGGUAUUAAAGCAACAGUUCCCGCUCAAUAUAGUGCAAAUUAAAAGUGGGAGAUUCGAGAGAUUUAACCGAAAGCGGCAAAAAGAAAAACUUGUGUGACAUUAAAUAGGGCAAACAUUUAGAACAGAGGACGCAGUGAGAGAAAAAAAGGCGCAUUCACGAAAUACAUCGUCCGUCAGAGCCAGUGAAAGAAAAAAAAAAA